GGGAAGGCAGCAGCUCAGCUCCUCCGGCUGCAGCAGCGACUGCACUACAGCAUCACCCUCUGGUUUUAUGGUGCCUUCCUCUCCCCUGCAUUCGCAGAGGGCCACAUUCACCCCGUUCUUCGCCCUGCCCUGCCUGUGUAUGAUGGCAAAAUCUCCAGUGCAAAUGAAGAUGCUCCUGGCAUACUCCUUACCCACCUGGGCUAUUAUGGUAUAGACAUGAUGGCUACCAGGAUAGCUUGACAGUUCUAUGCACUCCCAAACGUAACUGCAAUAGGAGGAAGUCACAUUCAGUACAGAUGGAGCCUUGGAGUGACCUUCUUAGCUAAAAAUUAGAAAUGAGAAUGCCACAAGCAGCAGAAAUAUCACUGCAGAUGAGUGCAGGGUGCAGUGUAAGGUAGUUAUAGUCCAGUGAUUUCUAAUCAUGAAGUCACACUUGGCUGGCAAAGAUCUGUACAGGUACCAGAGAAAAUCUGGCCCAGCUGCUAGGACCUGCGCAGGGCUAGGCUGGAGGCCUUUGCAACUCUGCUUGUGUCCCUGCAGCUAUCGAUGCAAGCCAGGACAGUGGCUAUGGUCUCAAAAGUCAUCAUCUCGAUGGGGUGCAGAAAAGCUGGAGUUGGCAGCAGUGUCCCAGGGGAGGGUGUGCGUGGAAAAAACAUGACACAUUGCUGUUUUCCUGAGCUGAGUCCCAUCGACACGGCAGAAGACAAAUCACUUGGCUUCAUGCAGUCAGACUGCUCACAUUCGAAGAUACGGAAACAGUUUCUUCCCUUGGGUGCAGUCUGCCUGCUGCUGUGGGGUAGGGAGGCAUGGAGAAGGGCGUAGAGGGGCUAAGGGUGCCUGAUGGGGCCUGUUCUGCCCAUGUGCCAGGCAGCAGAGUUGCAGUUCCUCCCUAGACCCAAAGACCAGGAGCUCUACUCACUUCCAUUCUCUGGCCAGGAGCCAAAUGCUACAAUUCUGUUCAAAGCAUCAAGGAAGACCUCCUAUGAGGCUGGUUACUGAAGCCCAAAAAUAUCACAUUGUUGGGGGGAGAGGGCUAGCUGCUACCAGAUCAACAGCACAUAUCUGCUAACACGGCACAUUUCUCUGCAUCAGGCAUAAUUGACAUUUUAUCUUCUGGUUUGCAAUAACUCUUUCAAUGCCACAGGCAUGCCACAAUUGCACCUUUCCUCAAAAAAAAUCAGGUGCAAUAGCAGAGGCCUGCUUGUUGGAAUCAGCAGUCACCUCUCAGAGCUUGUGGCACUGCGUGCCUUGAAAACAUCGCAAUCUGCUACUUUCCAAUGGCAUUCUAGCUAAAUUACACUCCAAAUGAUUUGCCAUGAAGGGGUUAACACUGCAGCAGCCUUGCUCGGUGGAUCAAAUUCUUGCAAGAGCUCACUCUCCUGGCUUUGUUCAUUGGGAUACAUUCAGCAAGAGCAGGAGGAGGGUUAAUGCUCUGAGAGCUGUUGUGCUCCUUCCAUGAGCACCUUGCUCUCCUUCCUGAUUCAGCAUGCUGCCUGUUUGGUUUUCAGACGGGUAGGAGUGAUUAUUAUUACAUGAUGCUCUGGAGAAUUUUGUCAUGGAGGCCUACAGGCAGCAAUGGCCUGUGGUUGUACCAUCAUCAUCUCUCAGCCCCAAGCCUGGAUGGCCAGAUGCAGCUCCUUGCUGAGACAGCUCUCUGACUUGCUUUAUUAUCUUAACGCUGCUAAACUUGCCAGUAAAAUCCCAAGCAGAGAUUUUCAUGUUCACAAGCAGUCCGAAGUUUCUAAUGAUAGUCAUGCAAAACAAAUUACCUUCAGUUGGAAGUUUCCUUGUGUUAUGGUGUAUCCUUAAAAAUGUAGAGGCGAAACAGUGUCAGGCAUUGGACACUGUCUAUGGGGCAGCUGAUUGUGAGCUGCAAUGUUUCUGGGACAUGAGGGUUCCUGGGAUGUGCCCAGAGGCAUCAGGGUGGAUGUUACUGGGGGGUAACAUACUGUAUGCUGCUGAGGUUCCUAUGGGUACAGGCAUCAGAGGAGCACCGAGGUAGACAUUCUUAUAAGCAAAUACUUUUAAAACUUGAAAUACAUCCAAGCAAGCUCCCAGCCAACUGCUGGUACAAAGGAGAGUGGUUAAGUGUCUUAAAGUGCAGGGCGAUUUGCAAAGCCGAAGAGUUUUUGGGAUACACUCUAAGGAGAUUAUUUUCCCCAUCAUAACAAACUGUGCCUUGAACCCUUGGGCAAAAGGCAGUGAGGCUGCUUCCCUGCUAAGCCACCUGGAUUGUCCUCAGAGAAACAAGAAUACAUUAUACAACCAUAGCAUCUUGCAAAGCAAAUCUGGCUCACCCUGCCUGUCACUGGUGUCUUCUCUGUUGACUCAUAGCAGGCAGGACUGUGUCCUGUUUUGGGCCUGUUCAGCCUUUAUGAGCCAGUUCAAGCUCCCUGCUACCAAACAUCAAAGAAUUUCAAACUGCAGCCUUCGUUCUCUGUCACUUAGGAGACAGAUUUGGAGGCUGGCGGCUCUUUGGCUCUGAGAAAAUCCCUGAAGAAAACAUCUUGGACACCCUGAGGCAUCACCUCACAAGUUGGACACCUGAAAUGCCUUCUAGCAGCAAAACUCAUUCAAAGGAAAUGGUACAGUAUCCCAGUUGUUUCAUUAACAUUCAUUUGAAUGCCUAAACCCAUUUCUUUUGACUACAGUUGCAUCCUUCCUAUUAGUAUUCAUUUUCCAUGGCAUUCUCAUAGAUGAGUUUAUAGUGGGAAAUAAUUGCAGGUCAAUUUUAAGCAAAUAUUUGAGAAUAUUAAUCUGAUGUGCAUUCUGAAUUAAAUUAAAAGUAUUUGUUCCACAUGAGCCUGACAGUAUGAGCUUAUAGUGUGGAUGAGUAGCAGCAUAUCCCGUGCCCCCCAUGACUAGUCAGACCCUAUCAUGACCAGUCAGAUACUAUCCUUGAUGCUAAAAAUAAGCUGCAUGUACACAAGCUAUAGGUUAUGAGAGCUCAGCUGCAGAAUUACCUGUGCUUGAACAAGUUUAAUGAUACACAUCUCAUCUGAGUUUAAAUUCAAAUCUGAAUUAAACUAGAGCACUACAACUGCACUUAAGCUGAAAACAACCAUUCCAUUUUAACAGGAAAUUCCAAGGUUUCAGACAAAAACUUUCUAAACAUUUUCACAGCUUUCAAGAAAAAGACACAGUGUUGUUAUGUUGACUUUUUAAAUCUCCAUCUUAACUAGCACUCAUAGUUGCAUUUUUCAACCAAAAUCCUUUUUAAAGGAGUGGAAAGAAGAAGCUCGUAUGUCUCAGCACAAAAAAGAGCUUUAUUUAAAAUUAGAUUCACAGAAAGAUCUAAGCAGAAUAGUGCAAAUAUCUGAUUUUUCACAGUUUUCUGUAUCAAGCAGCCUAAGGCUUCCUUAAGGCCCACCAGCUGAACACACACUGUCGUCUCGGGGAUGAGCAAUUCCACCCCACUGAAGGAUGUAGCCGAAGCUCGGAGACCCCAGAACAUACAUUUGUUUUGUUGUUUGCCUUUUUGCAUUACAACUUUGUGCCUAUGGCUCAGCAGUGUUUUUAACUCCUUUUUCAUCAAUUGCUCUUGAUGAAUUUAAGAUUUUUCUAUCAUACAGACUACAGAUUUAGAACAAAUAACCCUUUCAUUUAGUUAAUACCAGCAUCAUAGCUAUAAAGCUGUAAUAGUUUACGACUUUCAGGACAUAACCUGCAACCACAGACAAUACAAAUUAUAUUACACUGUGUUUUAUUGCUCUUUGAGGCCCUCUAAGAGACUCAGUGUCAUUUCAUAGUGCAGAGUGGUAGCUCUUUCUUCUUUUUAACACACAGCUGAAAAAUACUUCAAUUCUGUUACAAAAUGUUGUAUUUGUUUUAUUUUUUUUGAGAGUCUCCCUCAAAACUGCAUGUAGUUCUCUUAUCAUGCAGUGCUAAUAGCACUUUAUGUAAAAUUGAAGAGGAGUAUGCAUGUGUGAGUGUAUCCCUUCUCGGUGCGUGCUCUGCUUGCUGCACAAAGAGGAGGCCCAUUUUGGAAAAAAAAGAGAAAACCUUUUGACUGUCAUUUGCAAAGACAUUGCAUUGGAGGGAGGAAAACCUGAGAAAUCACAAUUCUUUCCCCCAGAACUGCUUAUUUAUUUAGGCUUUGUGUUUAGCUGCGGCAGGGAUCGCAAGCACUGCUGGCGCAGCCCUUUAAUCCCACCUCCCCUUCCUUUGGCCUAAGAUGGGGUGUGGGAAGGAGCAUAAAGGAGCCGCCAUGUUUUCUUCAAAUGGAGGGCCUAAAUGAAAAAUGAAGGUAAUAGAGGUUCAGGAAUUGCAAAGGAGCAGAGGGGGAGAGAAUGAGUGAGCGAGCACAGCCCAGCCCUGGCUUUUAGAGCAAGGAAAGGCCAUGUGCUUUGCUGCUGCACCUGCUGCCCGCGCUGCGCUGUAUUAUUGAAGAGGAGCGCAGGCCGAUCUGCAUCUCAAAUAGCUGAUUUGUAGAUGAGGUCAUUCCUUCUGUGGUCGACUGUGUGCUACGGUGGGGAUGGGCUGUUGCCUAGCAGUAGGCCACCAAGUCCCAGCAGGUCUCUUGAGUCAGCAGCCAUCUCUCCCCUCGCCACUCCCCUGCCCUCAUUGCAGAUUCAAAUCCAGUCUUGACCUUAAUAAAUAAAACUCGGCAAUGUUCGCCUCCUUCCUGAGUUCAAAGUGCCGGUGGUACACUAGGAAUUGACAGUCGCCUUUGAUGAUUCAUUGGUUUGGUUCCUCGAUAGCAAAAUCCAAACCCAGAAAUGCCCGUAUCAUGUGAAGAGAAGAUGAUGGAUAGCGCCUGGCUGCAACAACACCCUGUGAGAGGCUGGGUGCAAGGAUGAUGCUCUGCCGGUACAACAUGGCAGAGAGGAUUAAAGGAUCAGCACCGCAUUUAGUGAAGUAUUUAGACACGUCAGAGACGGGUUUGUAAAAUUUAAGCUAGUUUUCAUGUAUGACUCUCAGGGAAUCAAUUAUGCCUUUCCUGUUAAUUUUGACAGCCACUUCACAGUGAGCAAUGCUCAUUUGAAACACUUUUUAAGAGGCAUUUUCUUCUUUCAAAAGCAGCUAAAGCUCCUUACUUGUUAAGUACAGCACACCAAGCUGGUGGAAGGAGAAAAAGAAAUCAGUCACCGUUUCAAAUUAAAAAGAGUGUGAGAGAGAGGGGAAAAAAAAAAAAAAAAAAAAAAAAAAAAA
ensembl:lncRNA